CGCGUAGGCGGUCAUUCAAGUCAUCUGUAAAAUGGAAGGGCUUAACCCUUCAGGGCAGAUGAAACUGGAAGACUGGAGGUGCACAGAAGCAGGCAGAAUUCCUGGUGUAGCGGUGAAAUGCGUAGAUAUCAGGAAGAAUACCAGUGGCGAAGGCGGCCUGCCGGGUGCAAACUGACGCUGAAGCGCGAAGCCAGGGAGCAAACA
rnacentral:rRNA from 1 species